GACAGAGGUCCCGAGCGUUGUUCGGAUUCAUUGGGCGUAAAGGGUGUGUAGGAGGCCAGGUAAGUCAGGUGUGAAAUCUCAGAGCUUAACUCUGAAACUGCGCUUGAUACUGCUUGGCUAGAGGAUCGGAGGGGGUAACGGAAUUUAUGGUGUAGCAGUGAAAUGCGUAGAUAUCAUAAGGAACACCGGUGGCGAAGGCGGUUACCUGGAAGAUUCCUGACUCUGAAACACGAAAGCCAGGGGAGCAAACGGG
rnacentral:rRNA from 1 species